UUCAUCUGACUAUCUGCAGGGAAUGGCCAGGGGAAAUGUGCUCUCUUAAUAUUUGGUAUUUUGUAACUGGAUAAGGGAUUGGAGGCAUGAUGUUCCAGGCCCAUUCAGUCUUGCCUUUAGCAAAGUUUCCAAAACAAGAACUGUGUGGCAAUAGUGUUGCCCCAGCAACAGAAGUGCAGGCUGUGAAGAAGCAUGUUCCGGUCCCCAGAAUGAAGAUGCAUCUGGUGAGAAUAUGAAAAAAAAAGAAAAAAAGAAAACUGGGACAAUCAUUCUUUGCAGUUAUUUUGAACAGAAUACCGAAGAAUCCCUAUCAAACCACUGCAGAAAGCAUGAGGAGCUAUGAAGAGUUCUGCCGGCUCUGAUGCCCAUGGGUUGAUUUUUGCUCCAAUUACAGUCAAAGCCACAUGCUGUUUGGGAUAAGCAAUAGCAGAAAAUAAUACAUAUCAGUAGAAUAAUC